GACGAACGCUGGCGGCGUGCUUAACACAUGCAAGUCGAACGGUGACGGAGAGCUUGCUCUCCUGAUCAGUGGCGAACGGGUGAGUAACACGUGGGCAACCUGCCCCUGACUUCGGGAUAACGCUUCGAAAGAGGUGCUAAUACCGAAUAUGGACUCUUCAGGCAUCUGCGGAGUUGGAAAGUUUUUCGGUCAGGGAUGGGACCGCGGCCUAUCAGCUUGUUGGUGAGGUAAUGGCUCACUAAGGUGACGACGGGUAGCCGGCCUGGGAGGGCGACCGGCGACACUGGGACUGAGACACGGCCCAGACUCCUACGGGAGGCAGCGGUGGGGGAUAUUGCGCAAUGGGCGGAAGCGUGACGCAGCAACGCCGCGUGGGGGAUGAAGGCCUUCGAGUUGUAAGCCCCUUUCAGCAGGGAAGAAGCGAAAGUGACGGUACCUGCAGAAGAAGCACCGGCUAACUACGUGCCAGCCGCCGCCGUAAUAC
rnacentral:rRNA from 1 species